UUGAACGCUGGCGGCAGGCCUAACACAUGCAAGUCGAGCGGAUGAAGGGAGCUUGCUCCUGGAUUCAGCGGCGGACGGGUGAGUAAUGCCUAGGAAUCUGCCUGGUAGUGGGGGAUAACGUCCGGAAACGGGCGCUAAUACCGCAUACGUCCUGAGGGAGAAAGUGGGGGAUCUUCGGACCUCACGCUAUCAGAUGAGCCUAGGUCGGAUUAGCUAGUUGGUGGGGUAAAGGCCUACCAAGGCGACGAUCCGUAACUGGUCUGAGAUGAUGAUCAGUCACACUGGAACUGAGACACGGUCCAGACUCCUACGGGAGGCAGCAGUGGGGAAUAUUGGACAAUGGGCGAAAGCCUGAUCCAGCCAUGCCGCGUGUGUGAAGAAGGUCUUCGGAUUGUAAAGCACUUUAAGUUGGGAGGAAGGGCAGUAAGUUAAUACCUUGCUGUUUUGACGUUACCAACAGAAUAAGCACCGGCUAACUUCGUG
rnacentral:rRNA from 1 species